GGAGAGGUGCCCGAGUGGCUGAUGGGGCUGGUUUCGAAAACCAGUGUGCUCGAAAGGGUACCGGGGGUUCGAAUCCCCCCCUCUCCG
rnacentral:tRNA from 1 species